rnacentral:rRNA from 1 species
UACGUAGGUGGCAAGCGUUGUCCGGAUUUACUGGGCGUAAAGAGCGCGCAGGCGGUCCUUUAAGUCUGAUGUGAAAGCCCACGGCUCAACCGUGGAGGGUCAUUGGAAACUGGGGGACUUGAGUGCAGAAGAGGAGAGUGGAAUUCCACGUGUAGCGGUGAAAUGCGUAGAGAUGUGGAGGAACACCAGUGGCGAAGGCGGGUCUCUGGGCAGUAACUGACGCUGAGGAGCGAAAGCGUGGGGAGCGAACAGG